rnacentral:rRNA from 1 species
UACGGGGGGGGCAAGCGUUGUUCGGAAUUACUGGGCGUAAAGGGCUCGUAGGUGGCCAACUAAGUCAGACGUGAAAUCCCUCGGCUUAACCGGGGAACUGCGUCUGAUACUGGAUGGCUGGAGUAUGGGAGAGGGAUGCGGAAUUCCAGGUGUAGCGGUGAAAUUCGUAGAUAUCGGGAGGAACACCAGUGGCGAAGGCGGCGAUCUGGACAGAUAUUGACGCUGAGGUGCGAAAGCGUGGGGAGCAAACGGG